rnacentral:rRNA from 1 species
GGUUAAGCGACUAAGCGUACACGGUGGAUGCCCUGGCAGUCAGAGGCGAUGAAGGACGUGCUAAUCUGCGAAAAGCGUCGGUAAGGUGAUAUGAACCGUUAUAGCCGGCGAUGUCCGAAUGGGGAAACCCAGUGCAAUUCGUUGCACUAUCGUUAACUGAAUACAUAGGUUAACGAGGCGAACCGGGGGAACUGAAACAUCUAAGUACCCCGAGGAAAAGAAAUCAACCGAGAUUCCCCCAGUAGCGGCGAGCGAACGGGGAGCAGCCCGGAGUCUGAAUCAGCUUGUGUGUUAGUGGAAGCGUCUGGAAAGUCGCAGGGUACAGGGUGAUACUCCCGUACACUAAAACACACAGGUUGUGAACUCGAAGAGUAGGGCGGGACACGUGGUAUCCUGUCUGAAUAUGGGGGGACCAUCCUCCAAGGCUAAAUACUCCUGACUGACCGAUAGUGAACCAGUACCGUGAGGGAAAGGCGAAAAGAACCCCGGCGAGGGGAGUGAAAAAGAACCUGAAACCGUGUACGUACAAGCAGUAGGAGCCUCUUUAUGGGGUGACUGCGUACCUUUUGUAUAAUGGGUCAGCGACUUAUAUUCUGUAGCAAGGUUAACCGUAUAGGGGAGCCGCAGGGAAACCGAGUCUUAACUGGGCGUUAAGUUGCAGGGUAUAGACCCGAAACCCGGUGAUCUAGCCAUGGGCAGGUUGAAGGUUGGGUAACACUAACUGGAGGACCGAACCGACUAAUGUUGAAAAAUUAGCGGAUGACUUGUGGCUGGGGGUGAAAGGCCAAUCAAACCGGGAGAUAGCUGGUUCUCCCCGAAAGCUAUUUAGGUAGCGCCUCGUGAACUCAUCUUCGGGGGUAGAGCACUGUUUCGGCUAGGGGGUCAUCCCGACUUACCAACCCGAUGCAAACUACGAAUACCGAAGAAUGUUAUCACGGGAGACACACGGCGGGUGCUAACGUCCGUCGUGAAGAGGGAAACAACCCAGACCGCCAGCUAAGGUCCCAAAGUCAUGGUUAAGUGGGAAACGAUGUGGGAAGGCCCAGACAGCCAGGAUGUUGGCUUAGAAGCAGCCAUCAUUUAAAGAAAGCGUAAUAGCUCACUGGUCGAGUCGGCCUGCGCGGAAGAUGUAACGGGGCUAAACCAUGCACCGAAGCUGCGGCAGCGACACUAUGUGUUGUUGGGUAGGGGAGCGUUCUGUAAGCCGUUGAAGGUGGCCUGUGAGGGUUGCUGGAGGUAUCAGAAGUGCGAAUGCUGACAUAAGUAACGAUAAUGCGGGUGAAAAACCCGCACGCCGGAAGACCAAGGGUUCCUGUCCAACGUUAAUCGGGGCAGGGUGAGUCGACCCCUAAGGCGAGGCCGAAAGGCGUAGUCGAUGGGAAACAGGUUAAUAUUCCUGUACUCGGUGUUACUGCGAAGGGGGACGGAGAAGGCUAUGUUGGCCGGGCGACGGUUGUCCCGGUUUAAGCAUGUAGGCGGAUGUUCCAGGUAAAUCCGGAACGUUAUCAACGCUGAGGUGUGAUGACGAGGCACUACGGUGCUGAAGUGACAAAUGCCCUGCUUCCAGGAAAAGCCUCUAAGCAUCAGGUAACAUCAAAUCGUACCCCAAACCGACACAGGUGGUCAGGUAGAGAAUACCAAGGCGCUUGAGAGAACUCGGGUGAAGGAACUAGGCAAAAUGGUGCCGUAACUUCGGGAGAAGGCACGCUGAUAUGUAGGUGAAGUGGUUUACCCAUGGAGCUGAAAUCAGUCGAAGAUACCAGCUGGCUGCAACUGUUUAUUAAAAACACAGCACUGUGCAAACACGAAAGUGGACGUAUACGGUGUGACGCCUGCCCGGUGCCGGAAGGUUAAUUGAUGGGGUUAUCCGUAAGGAGAAGCUCUUGAUCGAAGCCCCGGUAAACGGCGGCCGUAACUAUAACGGUCCUAAGGUAGCGAAAUUCCUUGUCGGGUAAGUUCCGACCUGCACGAAUGGCGUAAUGAUGGCCAGGCUGUCUCCACCCGAGACUCAGUGAAAUUGAACUCGCUGUGAAGAUGCAGUGUACCCGCGGCAAGACGGAAAGACCCCGUGAACCUUUACUAUAGCUUGACACUGAACACUGGUCCUUGAUGUGUAGGAUAGGUGGGAGGCUUUGAAGCGUGGACGCCAGUCUGCGUGGAGCCAUCCUUGAAAUACCACCCUUUAAUGGCUGGUGUUCUAACGUGGGCCCGUUAUCCGGGUUGCGGACAGUGUCUGGUGGGUAGUUUGACUGGGGCGGUCUCCUCCUAAAGAGUAACGGAGGAGCACGAAGGUCAGCUAAUCCUGGUCGGACAUCAGGAGGUUAGUGCAAUGGCAUAAGCUGGCUUGACUGCGAGCGUGACGGCGCGAGCAGGUGCGAAAGCAGGUCAUAGUGAUCCGGUGGUUCUGAAUGGAAGGGCCAUCGCUCAACGGAUAAAAGGUACUCCGGGGAUAACAGGCUGAUACCGCCCAAGAGUUCAUAUCGACGGCGGUGUUUGGCACCUCGAUGUCGGCUCAUCACAUCCUGGGGCUGAAGUAGGUCCCAAGGGUAUGGCUGUUCGCCAUUUAAAGUGGUACGCGAGCUGGGUUUAGAACGUCGUGAGACAGUUCGGUCCCUAUCUGCCGUGGGCGCUGGAGAAUUGAGGGGGCUGCUCCUAGUACGAGAGGACCGGAGUGGACGCAUCACUGGUGUUCGGGUUGUCAUGCCAAUGGCAUUGCCCGGUAGCUAAAUGCGGAAGAGAUAAGUGCUGAAAGCAUCUAAGCACGAAACUUGCCCCGAGAUGAGUUCUCCCUGACUCCUUGAGAGUCCUGAAGGAACGUUGAAGACGACGACGUUGAUAGGCCGGGUGUGUAAGCGCAGCGAUGCGUUGAGCUAACCGGUACUAAUGAACCGUGAGGCUUAACCUU